GUGGGGAAUUUUGGACAAUGGGCGCAAGCCUGAUCCAGCAAUGCCGCGUGCAGGAAGAAGGCCUUCGGGUUGUAAACUGCUUUUGUACGGAACGAAACGGUCCUGGCUAAUAUCCGGGGCUAAUGACGGUACCGUAAGAAUAAGCACCGGCUAACUACGUGCCAGCAGCCGCGGUAGUACGUAGGGUGCGAGCGUUAAUCGGAAUUACUGGGCGUAAAGCGUGCGCAGGCGGUUUUGUAAGACAGGCGUGAAAUCCCCGGGCUCAACCGGGGAAUUGCGCUUGUGACUGGAAGGCUGGAGUGCGGCAGAGGGGGAUGGAAUUCCGCGUGUAGCAGUGAAAUGCGUAGAUAUGCGGAGGAACACCGAUGGCGAAGGCAAUCCCCUGGGCCUGCACUGACGCUCAUGCACGAAAGCGUGGGGAGCAAACAGGAUUAGAAACCCGGGUAGUCC
rnacentral:rRNA from 1 species